GAGGGGCUCUGGCCUUGGGCCGCUCACCCCGCUCCAGCCACCGCCUCCCCCUUCCCACAGCAGAAGCAGGCGAUGGAGGGACCUCCAGGCAGGAGGCGCCGCGGCUCCCCCAUCAGCGGGCAGGGCGGAGGAGAAAGACGCCAGGAAGCGGAAGGUUCCCGCCGGCCAAGGGUCGCCCAGGGCUGCGCCCCCUGAGUCCUGCCCGCGAGCAGCUGCUGGGACCCUCCCUGCCAUGUUGCUCCCCGAAAAGCUCUAAGGCUCGCAGAACUGCAGAGAGAGACCCUUCUUCCUCACUGUGAGUCUGCAAACUCGGGGCCAGGUGGUGAGCCCUCUAUUGUCCUGACCCCACAGUACCUGUCCCAUGACCAGGGCCAGCUCACCAAGGAGCUGCAGUAACAGCACGUGAAGUCAGUGCCAUCCCCCAUGUGAGCACCUGAGGAAGGUGAGUGAGUGCAGACAGAUAGGGCCUGGUGCCCUUGAACAGUUCCUGGUCCUGGCUGCCCCACGUCUCACAGGGGGCCAUGCUGGGGGAAGCGUAGGCUGUCACAGUUCUGGCUUUCCCUCCUUUUUCCUUCCAUACAAGUGUCUUAGGGAUGGGGCAGACUAGUUGACUUAUUUGGAUAAAAACUGCUAUCUUGUGUCAGAAACUCAAAAGGAAUCACUGCUGGCAUGUUAACCUAAAGAAAAACAACCAGACAAGUGCCCAAUGAUACUUAAAAAGGUUAUUUAUUUAUUUAUUUGAGACAAAGUCUUG